AAACUUAAAGGAAUUGACGGAAAGGCACCCCCAGGCGUGGAGCUUGCGGCUCAAUUUGACUCAACCCGGGAAAUUUCCCCCGACCCGAACAUCUGUAACGAUUGACAGAUUGAAAGCUCUUUCUUGAUGAAGUGGAUGGUGGUGCAUGGCCGUUCUUAGUUGGUGGAGUGAUCUGUCUGGUUAAUUCCGAUAACGAACGAGACUCUGUCCUGCUAAAUAGUGUCCGCUUCUCUUUUGAGCGGACAAUUCUUCUUAGAGGGACUGGCGACUCUUAGUCGCACGAGAUUGAGCAAUAACAGGUCUGUGAUGCCCUUAG
rnacentral:rRNA from 1 species